rnacentral:rRNA from 1 species
UAAAGUUUAAACCGGGGGAAGAUUUUUUUUCUUGCCACCGAAUACAUUAGCAUGGGAUAAUGGAAUAGGACCCUGACCUCCUAUUUUCAGUUGGUUUUGUUUACAGCGAGGUUAUAUCAGGGUAAUGAUUAAUAGGGAUAGUUGGGGGCAUUAAUAUUUAAUUGUCAGAGGUGAAAUUCUUGGAUUUAUGAAAGAUUAACUUCUGCGAAAGCGUUUGCCAAGGAUGUUUUCAUUAAUCAAGAACGAAAGUUAGGGGAUCGAAGACGAUCAGAUACCGUCGUAGUCUUAACCAUAAACGAUGCCGACCAGCGAUUAGGAGACGUUGAAUACAAAACACCGCCGUUAAUCCUUUCGGGGGUUAAUGGUUGGUGAAUGACUCCCUAGCAGCUUGUGAGAA